rnacentral:rRNA from 1 species
CAGCGGCCCUAGUGGUGAUCGUUAUUAUUGGGCCUAAAGCGUCCGUAGCCGGUUCGGUAAAUCUCUGGGUAAAUCGUUGGGCUUAACUCAGCGAAUUCUGGGGAGACUGCCGAACUUGGGACCGGGAGAGGUCGGAGGUACUCCAGGGGUAGGGGUGAAAUCCUGUAAUCCUUGGGGGACCACCGGUGGCGAAAGCGUCCGACCAGAACGGGUCCGACGGUAAGGGACGAAGCCCUGGGUCGCGAACCGGAUUAGAGACCCGAGUAGUCC